rnacentral:lncRNA from 12 species
UUUUUCCCUUUUGAAGUGUUAACACGUUGCCUGGCAAUGCCAUCCCACCUCGGGGAAGAUAACCACCACCCCUUUUUGUCUGGCUGGGAGGCUGAUUGUGCUGCACAGGUGUCCCAUCCACCCGAAAACAAAGAGAGGCUCUGCGAGUGCACUGACGUCACCGCAGCUCCAGCAGCCCCAGAAUAGCAGCUCCAAUCCACACUUCGUACUCCAGUGCUACAGGAAGCCACAACCAUCCCCUCCUGCUCAAGUAUAAAACCAACGGGCACAGAUAUGUGCCGGGAAUACCAAUUUAAUAUAUCCUGUACUAAGUGACAUUCUGUUUGUUGCAUAGCAACAGGAAUCUACUGCAGAAAAACAAUAUGGAACUUUUUUUUUUUUUUCACUUGCCCAAGCUACAAUUAACCCCGGUCUUCCUCAGAAAAAAACAUCCACAGCAUAAACAUAACCUUUGUCACCAGUCCACCAAAGAUGUUAUCCAGCAUUUACUCUGUUCUAUAUUAAAGUGAUCCCGUGCAUUUAAGUGGCUGGAGGAUAUGGUGCUGCCAAGAGAAAAUUCCCUGCUACAGUGCAUAAGGGCAGGGAUCACUGCAAGAAGAGAGGUUGCUUGCUUUACAUCCAUCUGGCCUAAGAAAAGGAGGCAUGGAAACUCAAGGCAAGAUAUCCAGGGUACUCAAAACUGGCUUAACAGUGUACUCCUCUAUACUGUGGCAACUGGGGAUUUCAACAGGCUGUCACCAGCAUUUGGGCAGGAGACCCAGAGAGAUGUCACAUCACCUCCCCAGCAGCAGUUCCAUAAGCCUCCCAUAAGUGCCUACAGAACCAUAAUGUUAGGAGCAGCACACACCACCACAUAACACCAUCAGAGGCUGAGGGUUGGAAACAAGCGUUCUGGACGUCAGUUUCCUUUGAAGCACCCCACGACCACUCAUCAGAGUGACCCUCCAAAUCACAACUGCAUCUCCCCCUCACCAGCCUGAUGCUCUGCAGGCACGAGCCAGUAAUAUAUUACCUAAAUUCACUCACCGCUGCGAGUCAACUGCUCAAACAUCUAAAUAAGCAACCUAAGGGUAGGUUCAACCUAGACGCUUUCCUGUUGUGCUAGUUAAGAGAAAGAAAUACUUGUGCUCCCUCCAAGCUGGCACAAGUCCUAGCACACAUACAGUUACAUCAGUGAACAGUGAGCACUCUUGCUGCUAUAGCUCACUUCACUCAGCAUCACCCGCACAAUUCGAGUGCUUUUUGCCAGCACGAAACCCAAACUUACACGGGGCUUCCCAAGGUAUUUAUGCCAAGUCCUGCUCGAUUAGCAGCAUUCAUUGUGCUAAAGGCUGUCAGGAUGAUUAAAAAGAACACCUCUGCUUAAAGGAUCUGGAUACAAACUGUAGGUUUUCCAAGCUGUAACUUUUCGUUUGCAGGGUAUCUGACUUCUACAUGAGCAACAUGAAUAACUGAAAAUAAAUUAUCACAAGACAAAACAAAGCUUAAAAUAACGUAGGACAUAAAUACCUACAGCUAACAAAGAAAACUAGAGGGAAAUACAGGAACACAAUUCUAAACAAAACAGCAGGGAGAUUGUUCCCAUGCUUCCCACUGCAACACUACCCUUUCCAUUGAAGGUGCACUGAAAGAGGGAACCCUCACAGCACAAAACAAAAAAUUAUUAGGAUUUUCCUGCAAUUUACAGGGAAUUCUAAUGGCUCAUCAGUUUUAUGCAGCAGAGGAAUUUGCCGACUUAGAUCACGCAAAUCUUGCCGGACCUCUACUCCAAAGGACCUUACACUCGUGCCUUUAAGACAAAGAAGGUUCACAUCCAACUGUAAGGCAGACAAUAACUUCCAGGCGAAAAAAAAAAAAAAAAAAAAAAAAAGGGGGGGGGGGGGGGGGGGG